GACGAACCGUCCAAACGUUAUUCGGAAUCACUGGGCUUACAGAGUUCGUAGGCGGUCUGGAAAGUUGGGUGUGAAAUCCCUCGGCUCAACCGAGGAACUGCGCUUGAAACUACCAGACUCGAGGGAGAUAGAGGAAAGCGGAACUGAUGGUGGAGCGGUGAAAUGCGUUGAUAUCAUCAGGAACACCGGUGGCGAAGGCGGCUUUCUGGGUCUUUUCUGACGCUGAUGCACGAAAGCUAGGGGAGCAAACGGG
rnacentral:rRNA from 1 species